rnacentral:rRNA from 1 species
GGAUUGAACGCUGGCGGCAGGCCUAACACAUGCAAGUCGAGCGGUAGAGAGGUGCUUGCACCUCUUGAGAGCGGCGGACGGGUGAGUAAUGCCUAGGAAUCUGCCUAGUGGUGGGGGAUAACGUUCGGAAACGGACGCUAAUACCGCAUACGUCCUACGGGAGAAAGCGGGGGACCUUCGGGCCUCGCGCCAUUAGAUGAGCCUAGGUCGGAUUAGCUAGUUGGUGAGGUAAUGGCUCACCAAGGCAACGAUCCGUAACUGGUCUGAGAGGAUGAUCAGUCACACUGGAACUGAGACCACGGUCCAAGCUCCGUACGGGACGCAGCAGUGGGAAUAGUGGACAAGUGGGACGAAAGCUAGACCUACGACGACUGACCGCGUCGUGUGGUA